GACGAACGCUGGCGGCGUGCUUAACACAUGCAAGUCGAACGGAAAGGCCCUGCUUUUGUGGGGUGCUCGAGUGGCGAACGGGUGAGUAACACGUGAGUAACCUGCCCUUGACUUUGGGAUAACUUCAGGAAACUGGGGCUAAUACCGGAUAGGAGCUCCUGCUGCAUGGUGGGGGUUGGAAAGUUUCGGCGGUUGGGGAUGGACUCGCGGCUUAUCAGCUUGUUGGUGGGGUAGUGGCUUACCAAGGCUUUGACGGGUAGCCGGCCUGAGAGGGUGACCGGCCACAUUGGGACUGAGAUACGACCCAGACUCCUACAGGAGGCAGCAGUGAAGAAUAUUACACAAUGGGCGGAAGCCUGAUGCAGCAACGCCGCGUGCGGGAUGACGGCCUUCGGGUUGUAAACCGCUUUCGCCUGUGACGAAGCGUGAGUGACGGUAAUGGGUAAAGAAGCACCGGCUAACUACGUG
rnacentral:rRNA from 1 species